rnacentral:ribozyme from 1 species
UUUUUUUUUUUUUUUUUUUUUUUUUUUUUUUUUUUCU